rnacentral:rRNA from 1 species
GUGAGGAAUAUUGCGCAAUGGAGGCAACUCUGACGCAGCCAUGCCGCGUGCAGGAAGAAGGCGCUACGCGUUGUAAACUGCUUUUAACCGGGAAGAAACCCCAGGACGUGUCCUGGGUUGACGGUACCGGAGGAAUAAGCACCGGCUAACUUCGUGCCAGCAGUCGCGGUAAUACGAAGGGUGCAAGCGUUAUCCGGAUUCAUUGGGUUUAAAGGGUGCGUAGGCGGAGCGUUAAGUCAGUGGUGAAAUCCUGCAGCUUAACUGUAGACUUGCCAUUGAUACUGGCGCUCUUGAGUGCGCUUGAAGUGGGCGGAAUGUGCCGUGUAGCGGUGAAAUGCUUAGAUAUGGCACAGAACACCAAUUGCGAAGGCAGCUCACUAAGGCGAUACUGACGCUGAGGCACGAAAGCGUGGGGAUCGAACAGGAUUAGAAACCCCAGUAGUCC